AUCUCACUGUCAUUUUCUUUAUCCAUCAUGUUCUUCUGUGCUUUUCUGAUUCCUUCAGUGCUGACAGGUGUCUCUUCUGAAGACUUGAUAACAUCUCAUGGGUCUGUUAAACAUGCCAGAGAUGGUGAGAGUGUUACUCUCUCCUGCAACUACAGUGUUUCUCAAUAUGGCCUGUUUUGGUAUCAUCAAUAUUCCAGAUCCAAACCAGAAUUCCUCCUCUCCACCACUGAAUCUGGAGGAACUGUUAAAGCUGAUCCAGCUGCACAGUUUUCUGCUACAGUUGAUAAAAUUCAGAACAGCAAAGUUCUGAACCUGGUGAUCUCCUCUGCUGCAGUAUCAGACUCUGCACUCUACUACUGUGCCCUGCAGCCCACAGUGACAGGAAACCCAGCUACACUGUAUAAAAACACUGUUUGGAAUGGAGCUCUGUUCUUACUCAUGUUUCUGUGUUUCUGUACAGUGUUGUACUGAUUCACUGCUGCAUUUCACUCUCAAAAAUAUCAACCUUGAAAUCAGUAUUGCUCAUAUUGUAAUGUCACAAACAAUAGUUGAGAAAAUUUUAAAAGCACAGAUGUUUUGGAUUAUAAAAAUCUU